UGGGGAAUAUUGGACAAUGGGGGCAACCCUGAUCCAGCAAUGCCGCGUGAGUGAUGAAGGCCCUAGGGUUGUAAAGCUCUUUUACCCGGGAUGAUAAUGACAGUACCGGGAGAAUAAGCUCCGGCUAACUCCGUGCCAGCAGCCGCGGUAAUACGGAGGGAGCUAGCGUUGUUCGGAAUUACUGGGCGUAAAGCGCGCGUAGGCGGCUAUUCAAGUCAGGGGUGAAAUCCCGGGGCUCAACCCCGGAACUGCCCUUGAAACUGGGUAGCUAGAAUCCUGGAGAGGCGAGUGGAAUUCCGAGUGUAGAGGUGAAAUUCGUAGAUAUUCGGAAGAACACCAGUGGCGAAGGCGACUCGCUGGACAGGUAUUGACGCUGAGGUGCGAAAGCGUGGGGAGCAAACAGGAUUAGAUACCCCCGUAGUCC
rnacentral:rRNA from 1 species